CAAAUACUCCCUCCGUCCAAAAAUACUUGUCAUCAAAAUGGAUAAAAAGAGGUGUAUCUAGAACUAAAAUACAUCUAGAUACAUCCCCUUUUAUUCAUAUUGAUGACAAGUAUUUCCGGACGGAGGGAGUAGAAG
rnacentral:pre_miRNA from 1 species